rnacentral:rRNA from 1 species
CCUACGGGAGGCUGCAGUGGGGAAUAUUGGACAAUGGGCGAAAGCCUGAUCCAGCCAUGCCGCGUGUGUGAAGAAGGCCUUCGGGUUGUAAAGCACUUUCAGUGGGGAAGAAAGCCUUGGGGCUAAUACCCUCGAGGAAGGACAUCACCCACAGAAGAAGCACCGGCUAACUCCGUGCCAGCAGCCGCGGUAAUACGGAGGGUGCGAGCGUUAAUCGGAAUUACUGGGCGUAAAGCGCGCGUAGGCGGUCUGAUAAGCCGGUUGUGAAAGCCCCGGGCUCAACCUGGGAACGGCAUCCGGAACUGUCAGGCUAGAGUGCAGGAGAGGAAGGUAGAAUUCCCGGUGUAGCGGUGAAAUGCGUAGAGAUCGGGAGGAAUACCAGUGGCGAAGGCGGCCUUCUGGACUGACACUGACGCUGAGGUGCGAAAGCGUGGGUAGCAAACAGGAUUAGAUACCCUAGUAGA